AUUGAACGCUGGCGGCAGGCUUAACACCUGCAAGUCGAACGAGAGGCGGACGGGUGAGGAAUGUAUGGGGAUCUGCCUGAUGGCGGGGGAUAACUAAUGGAAACGGUAGCUAAUACCGCAUACCAUCAGAUGAACCCAUAUGGGAUUAGCUUGGAGGUGAGGUAACGGCUCUCCUAGGCGACGAUCCCUAGCGGGUCUGAGAGGAUGAACAGCCACACGGGGACUGAGACACGGCCCAGACUCCUGCGGUAGGCAGCGUUGGGGAAUAUUGGAAAAUGGGCGCAAGCCUGAUGCAGCCAUGCCGCGUGUAUUAAGAAGGCUUUCGGGUUUUAAAGUACUUUCAGUCGGGAGGCGUUACCGACAGAAUAAGCCCCGGCUAACUCCGUGCCAGCAGCCGCGGUAAUUC
rnacentral:rRNA from 1 species